rnacentral:rRNA from 1 species
GGCACGCCUAACACAUGCAAGUCGAACGAAGUAGCAAUACUUAGUGGCAGACGGGUGAGUAACAUGUAGGUAUCUGCCCUUUGGCCUGGAAUAACACGAGGAAACUUGUGCUAAUACCGGAUAAGUCUUUACGGAGAAAGCUUUAUGCACCAUUGGAUGAGCCUGCACUUGAUUAGUUUGUUGGUGGGGUAAUGUCCUACCAAGACUGUGAUCAAUAGCUGAUUUGAGAGGAUGAUCAGCCACAUUGGGACUGAGACACGGCCCAAACUCCUACGGGAGGCAGCAGUGGGGAAUCUUGCACAAUGGAGGAAACUCUGAUGCAGCGAUGCCGCGUGAGUGAAGAAGGCCUUUGGGUUGUAAAGCUCUUUCGUCGGGGAAGAAAAUGACUGUACCCGAAUAAGAAGG